rnacentral:lncRNA from 1 species
UAGGUUUCAGAAAGUAUUAAAAAGGUGUUGUCAAAAUGAGAUUUUAUUUAUUUUAUUAAAAAAUACAAAAUUUAGUAUAUUUAAUCUGAACCAUUUAAAAUGGUGUUGUACUACUUUUUAUUUUAGUUUAUUUUCUUUAUAUUGUUAUUUUCCAUGUCAACACCUUUAUUGAUACUUCACUUAGUUAAUGCCACAUAUUCAUUUUUGAAACAUAAUUUUUAAAGAGAGUAAGAAUGCACAUAUUUGAUAACUUAAAUGAUCAAGUUGUUACAAAAAAAACUUUAAGUAUCAACAUAUUACAAAAAAAUAACUUAUAUGACCUUCGGUGUAAUUUUGCCAAAAAUAUA